rnacentral:lncRNA from 10 species
GUGGUGGGGGUGGGGGUGGGGUCUUUCAGUCAUCCCUCAGUGUCUCGACCUUGAUGCCUGGAAAAGCCUGGACCCCUGUUUUGUGCUGAGGAUGUCUUCUCCCCUUAAACCAGGAUUGAUUCUGGAGUGUAAGUCAGCAAUAUGAACUUGAUGCUCAUUUUGGCCUAAAGAUGGAGUCAUGAUCUGUCCCAGGCUGAAGUACAGUGGCACGAUCAUAGCUCACUGCAGCCUCAAAGGCCUGGGCUCAACGGAUCCUUCCUCCUCAGCCUCUUGAAUAGCAGAUUUUAUACACAUCUGCAAAGUCUUUGGCCCUAUCCACCCUUCCUCUUGACUCUGCACUGGCCUUAGGCACACUGCAUGACUUUCCAGGCUGGGCCAAUAAAAGCCAUGCAGCUUCCAUUUGGUUCUCUUUGGUUGCUUGUUCAUCCCUCUGGAGAUGUUUCUUAUGAGAACCCAGAAGCCAUGCUAUAAGAAGCCACAAGGAGAGGCCAUGUAUAGAAACUCCAGUCAACAGUUCCAGAUGAACCUGUCCUUCAACACUCAGAGCCAAGCUGCCAGACAUAAUCCAUCCCUUUUCACACGGAGCUGGGAAGCAUAUCCUCCAUCCCCAGAUGUUCUAGUCAAUUAAGUCACCUUCUACUUGUUUGAGUCUUCCCGUCUAUGACCCUAGGCAUCAUGGAUCAGAGACAGGCCAUCCCUGCGGUGCACUGUCCUAUCGGUACAAUAAAUGUGGUUGUUUUAUUUUGGGAUAAUUUGUUACCCAACAAAAGUUAAUGGUAGUAUGUGCUAAUUGAAGCCAUUAGGACAGAUGAGAGCACUCAGUGAGAGUGUGGAGAGUGAA